GCAAGUCGAGCGGAAGAAGGGAGCUUGCUCCCGGAUGUUAGCGGCGGACGCGUGAGUAACACGUGGGUAACCUGCCUGUAAGACUGGGAUAACUCCGGGAAACCGGAGCUAAUACCGGAUAGUUCCUUGAACCGCAUGGUUCAAGGAUGAAAGACGGUUUCGGCUGUCACUUACAGAUGGACCCGCGGCGCAUUAGCUAGUUGGUGAGGUAACGGCUCACCAAGGCGACGAUGCGUAGCCGACCUGAGAGGGUGAUCGGCCACACUGGGACUGAGACACGGCCCAGACUCCUACGGGAGGCAGCAGUAGGGAAUCUUCCGCAAUGGACGAAAGUCUGACGGAGCAACGCCGCGUGAGUGAUGAAGGUUUUCGGAUCGUAAAGCUCUGUUGUUAGGGAAGAACAAGUGCAAGAGUAACUGCUUGCACCUUGACGGUACCUAACCAGAAAGCCACGGCUAACUACGUGCCAGCAGCCGCGGUAAUACGUAGGUGGCAAGCGUUGUCCGGAAUUAUUGGGCGUAAAGGGCUCGCAGGCGGUUUCUUAAGUCUGAUGUGAAAGCCCCCGGCUCAACCGGGGAGGGUCAUUGGAAA
rnacentral:rRNA from 1 species